UGCCCACAUAUUGCUCGGCUGUGCCAUAUUCCGCCGCGUGUUGGACGACACCCUGGAACAGAUUGCGGUCUGAUAAGUUGGGGAAGCCUGGGUUCUCUGGGGAUAUUAGGAAGCCGGUCGAUAUGACAAUGUUCUUGGCUUCUACUGUUUCUUCUUCCUUUGUUUCUACAUCUUGGAUCACCACCUUCCACAGACCAGCAGUCUCAUCCCAAUUGUUUCUCACUACCUUGACUCCACAGAAUAAUGGCAGUUUGAGCGCCUCGACAGCGCUCGAAGUGUAUCUUGUGAAGUAUCGGCCCGGUAGAUAUUCUGGAUAAUCUUCAGGAAUAGGGAAUCCUGGCAAAGCUACCAUGAGCUUGUUAUGAUGAAUGGUCACAUAAUCUUUUCCAUUACUCGACCAGUUACCGCAAGCGACAGGGUAGGUUUCAAAAGCAGCAACAUUCACCCCAAUAGAGUCGAGCAUGAUAGUAUUCGCUAAUCCACUGCAACUGGCCCCAAUUACGACGACAUCCAAGACCCCUUGCAGGUGUGGCAGACCCUGCGCUUGAGCCUUACCUCUUUGAGAGGCUGGAACUGAUGAUGGGGUUUUCCGUGGAAGGGUUUCAAACGGGUGUUCUGUGAGAGAAACAACGUCGGUAGACAGUACCCAGAUCUUCCAUUGGCCACCUUCGGGGAUCAGCUUGACAAGACCAAUAUUGUUGGAUUUGGGAUUGUCAGUGGUGAAGCAGAAGGGCACAUCUAGGGAUGCCAAUGUCGGAGAAAGGCGCUGGAAUUUCGGUUCAAUCCCGAGUCCAUAUUCUUGCUUAGAGGUAAAGACUGUGGGCUUCCGGGUCUCGGAGAGUGUCUUCCACGCUGCAACAAUCUUGUCUCUCCCGGACAAAGUCCGCUUGUCGAAAGUCAGGGUCAAGCUGUCUUUCCAGAAACAGCCAUCGCAGAAGAGACUGCCAAAGGCUU
rnacentral:sRNA from 1 species